UGAACGCUGGCGGCGUGCUUAACACAUGCAAGUCGUACGAGAACUCUUCUGCUUGCAGAAGAUAGUAAAGUGGCGCACGGGUGAGUAACGCGUGGGUAAUCUCCCUCUGACUCGGGGAUAACAUUGCGAAAGCGAUGCUAAUACCGGAUGACAUCAUGAAAACCUUGGUUUUUAUGAUCAAAGGUGGCCUCUACAUGUAAGCUUCCGAUUAGAGAUGAGCCCGCGUACCAUUAGCUUGUUGGUGGGGUAACGGCCUACCAAGGCUGCGAUGGUUAGCUGGUCUGAGAGGAUGAUCAGCCACACUGGAACUGACACACGGUCCAGACUCCUACGGGAGGCAGCAGUGAGGAAUUUUGCGCAAUGGGGGAAACCCUGACGCAGCAACGCCGCGUGAGUGAUGAAGGCUUUAGGGUCGUAAAGCUCUGUCGAGUGGGAAGAAAAACCAGAUACCAAUAAUAUCUGGGACUGACGGUACCACUGAAGGAAGCACCGGCUAACUCC
rnacentral:rRNA from 1 species